UGUUAGGGGGCAAGGGCCGGGCCAUGCCUGGCUGUUUGGUGAGGCACAGCCUCCCCUAACCGGCCCUCCAUACAAAUUCAGAAACCUGAUGCAGUCCUUAGACGAAAAAGUUUGCCCUCCCCUGCCCUAGGGGACCCCCUCAC